CCAAGCAGGGGCGGGGGAAAUGGUCUACGCAGCAAUGAAAGUAGGAUCCUACAAUAUUUGAGACCUUACUGCCAAUAAAGGCCACUAGGUUCUUGGGGGUAUUGUGCAGACUCUGUAGAACAGAAGAUCGAUUAUACUAGAGUGUUAACGCGGGGAAAACGGGGAAUAGAUUAGAACAAGUGGGAAAUCCUAUAGGAAUUUCUACUCACCUUUAGAGUAAAGCACUUCUGUACAGAAUCAUGGCCAUAUUAUGAACUCGAGUCAGAGGCCUCCAGGCCCUGAAAAUAACACCCUUUUGCAACUGCUUUUAUUUUAUACACAUAGCGGGAAAUGUUAAGAACAGCAAUAUGUGCAGGCCCACCAAUGAAACCCCCUCCAUAUGUAUUACCAUCAUGCUCCAAGCAGCUUCUCCUUUCCAGCAUGCUAUGGAGAACAAGGAAACUCUCUUAGUCUGUGAAGAGAGGGAGGGGUCUGAGGAAAGUAUUAAAGAGGAAAGGAUGAUUGCCUUUUGCUAAAACCAUGCUGUCUGUGUUCUGUUUCCAAGCUCAAACAGCUGCUUCAGCUGAGAAAAAGGGGGAGGCGCAUCGGCCUCCUCCACCCCUUGUGUUGCAAACAGUCUAAUUUCCUGCUGCCGCUCUGUCCCAAGCCCAAAGAGAACACUGUUCUUGCUGCAAAAAGUUUCUCCGAACAAACGGCUGCUUUUCUUUUCUUUUUCUUCUUCUUUCUUCCUUCAACUGCUUGCAGUUGGAAAAGAGGAAAGAAAAUGGAGUUUGAAGGAAUGCGUGUGAUGUAGUUCUGUGCAGGGAAUUGUAGAGAAAAGACUGGAAGGAGAUGUGGACAGAAGGGAAGGAAUGUCUUAAGGAUUUUAGUUGGAAGUUGUUAAAAAGUUGAAAAGCACCUGUAAGUUGAAAAAUGUAAGCUGUGAUGUGGAAAGUAGCUGAAUCCCAGUAGCUGAAUGAUGAGAUCCCAGAUUUGAGAUUUGAUGAAAAGAAUUUUGUUUUGCCACUCCUGCAAGUGGAAGGGAGUUCCAAAGUACCGGUUUGCAUUUCACCUGGAAGACUUCCCAGUUUAAAAGGAUCAAGCUUUGUAUGUUACUGUGAAACCCAUACCCUGUUUUCACAGCUCCUGAUGAGAGACUUGACUUGAUUAUCACAGGUUUCACCCCUCUGCAAGAUUAUGGACCAUUUUUCUGAUAACACCUUUUGCUAAAGAGGCCUGUAAAAAGGGACACUUUGAUUUGCUGUAAAAUCUGUAAAAUCUAUGCUUAGGCAUCCCAAAAUCACAUGUCACAAAUCCUUUAGCCACAUGAAACACAGAACUAUAUUUCCAAGGCAAAGAAGAUAAUUCUAGUUAUAGCAUGUAUUUUCUUUUUAUUGAUAGUCACAUGUUGCUGCUUACAAUGCAUUCCAGCUUUAAUCCAAAUGUUUAUGAGAACCUUUAAACCUCGCCAUAAUGUAAGACCUAAUUAUACAGCUGUACCUUUACAAGCCUUAAGACAUCCUGAAGAUUCAGGAUAGUCCAAUUUCAGGGGGGAAUUGAUCUGUUUAAAAAACCAAAGAAACUCCAUUUUGCCCAGAAGACCUUAUUCUAACUUAAAGUAACCUGGCCCCCAAAAUCAGGGACAUCACUGCCUCUCAUGAUUAACAUCAUUAUCUCUCUCCAGCAAAAUUGUACACAGCUAAGCUUCACAUUGCUAGAAAACAGGAUCUAACCGAAUAAGGAAUAAUCACCAGAUGAACAAUGAAUCAUUCACAUGCGUACUACUUAGACCACCAUUUUAUUGCCACAUAUACUGUGUCUAGCGUGUUAGCACCAUCUUGAUUGUUUGUAUAAAUGUAAGGUGCACCUGUAACCAAACCUUAAUUGGUUUGAGAGCAUGAGCCUACUGAUUACCUAUUGCUGACUGCAGAGCAAUAAAGCCUCAAUUAAUAAUUCCCAA